CACCAGUUCGAUCCUGGUCCGUGCCACCAUUAAAACCCCCAUCCUCAGUGAGGAUGGGGGUUUUGCGAUGCUAG
rnacentral:tRNA from 1 species